AACACGCUCCUCAGAUCCACCUCUGGAGGGUGCUCCUGUGUGCUGGUGCUGUUGUCUCUGAGUGCUGCCGCUCCAGCCUGGAGGCCCUCAGCAGCUUUCUGGCUGUACAAUUGGAGGUGCUUGAGUCAUUGGUGUGUGAGAGCAGUCUACCUGUUCCCCAGCCAGGCUGGGGGUGGUUAAC
ensembl:snoRNA SNORA53 small nucleolar RNA, H/ACA box 53